rnacentral:rRNA from 1 species
GACGAACGCUGGCGGCGUGCCUAAUACAUGCAAGUCGAGCGGAACAAUGGGAGCUUGCUCCCAUUGUUUAGCGGCGGACGGGUGAGUAACACGUGGGCAACCUGCCCUGCAGAUCGGGAUAACUCCGGGAAACCGGUGCUAAUACCGAAUAGUUUUUUGCCCCUCCUGGGGCGGAACGGAAAGACGGUUUCGGCUGUUACUGCAGGAUGGGCCCGCGGCGCAUUAGCUAGUUGGUGGGGUAACGGCCCACCAAGGCGACGAUGCGUAGCCGACCUGAGAGGGUGAUCGGCCACACUGGGACUGAGACACGGCCCAGACUCCUACGGGAGGCAGCAGUAGGGAAUCUUCCGCAAUGGACGGAAGUCUGACGGAGCAACGCCGCGUGAGUGAAGAAGGUUUUCGGAUCGUAAAACUCUGUUGUAAGGGAAGAACACGUACCAGUUAACUGCUGGUACCUUGACGGUACCUUACCAGAAAGCCACGGCUAACUACGUGCCAGCAGCCGCGGUAAUACGUAGGUGGCAAGCGUUGUCCGGAAUUAUUGGGCGUAAAGCGCGCGCAGGCGGUCCCUUAAGUCUGAUGUGAAAGCCCACGGCUCAACCGUGGAGGGUCAUUGGAAACUGGGGGACUUGAGUGCAGAAGAGGAAAGUGGAAUUCCAUGUGUAGCGGUGAAAUGCGUAGAGAUGUGGAGGAACACCAGUGGCGAAGGCGACUUUCUGGUCUGUAACUGACGCUGAGGCGCGAAAGCGUGGGGAGC